AUAAGGCUUGUUUUGUUGAUCCUUAUUUUGUUUAAUUAAUAGAAACAUCGAAUUUAUUAAGUAAGUGGUGAAAGAAAAUUUUUGUAAAAACCUUUAAAAGUACUGAAAAGGAAUUUUGUUGAAUUAGUUUAAAGGAAUGUUUAAGUCUUGUACCUUUUGUAUCAUGGCCUAGCUAGAUUUAAAUUUUAAAAAAGGUUUCUCGAAGUCUAAUGAUCUAUCCUAGCUCUCAUUUUAGGGUAAAAGAGUAGUUGUUGCAAAAACUUUCUCAGAAGUUAGGAUAGAAAUGAAAUUUUAUUCGUAUUAGACGAUAGCUAGUUCCUUUGAAAGGUAUAUAAGUACUAAAAGUUAGUUAAUAACUAGAAAUUAUAAGUUCUGGCUGUGUUUAACUUUUUUACACUUAUGAGGAUAAGCUCGUAAGUAAUGUGGUUUAUGGGCGUAAAAUUUCAAUUAAAUUUAAGCUUAGAAAUAGCUAUAAUUAUUAAUUUUGUUAUAAUUUAUAGGUGAAGAAAGAAAUGGAUUUAUUUGCUGUGAAUUUGAAAAAGGAAAAUUUAUUAAUUGUGAGAUAAACUGUAUUAAUGCUAGGAUGAGUAUUUUUAAUAUUUAUUGGUUUGAAAUUUUAAUUCGAAAACUUAAAAUUUUAUUAUAAAAUAAAAUUAUAAAAAGGAACUCGGCAAAUAUAUUUGUUCUGCCUGUUUAUCAAAAACAUGGCUCCUUGUUAUCCUGUAGAUGGGGAGUCGGACCUGCCCGGUGAAAUUAUUUAACGGCCGCGGUACCCUGACCGUGCGAAGGUAGCAUAAUCAUUUGCCUUAUAAUUGAAGGCUUGUAUGAAUGGUUUGACUUGAACAAAGCUGUCUCUUUAUAAUUUUGUAGAAUUUUAUUUUUAGGUGAAGAAGCCUAAAUAAAAUUAAUAGACAAGAAGACCCUGUCGAGCUUUAAAUAAGUUAAUAGAGUUAUAUUAUAAUAUAUAUAAAAAAAAUUUGACUAUUAAAAAUUUUGGUUGGGGCGACUGAGGAACAAAUAAAGCUUCCUAUGUUUAAUAGAUGUUCGCAUAUUGAUCCAAGUUUUUUGAUUGAAGAAAUUAGUUACCGUAGGGAUAACAGCAUUAUUCUCUUUGAGAGUUCUUAUCGAAAAGAGGGUUUGUGACCUCGAUGUUGGACCAGAAUAUCCUAAAGAUGCAGAAGUCUUUAAGGGUUGGUCUGUUCGACCAUUAAAAUUCUACGUGAUCUGAGUUCAGACCGGCGUGACCAGGUCAGUUUCUAUCUUUAAUUUUUUGUGCAAGCUUAGUACGAAAGGACCAGUUUGUAGUAUUAAAUACUAUGGAUGAAGAAAUAUAAUUAAUGCUU
rnacentral:rRNA from 1 species